AUUGAACGCUGGCGGCAGGCCUAACACAUGCAAGUCGAACGGUAGCACAGAGAGCUUGCUCUCGGGUGACGAGUGGCGGACGGGUGAGUAACGUCUGGGAAACUGCCCGAUGGAGGGGGAUAACUACUGGAAACGGUAGCUAAUACCGCAUUACGUCGCAAGACCAAAGUGGGGGACCUUCGGGCCUCACACCAUCGGAUGCGCCCAGAUGGGAUUAGCUAGUAGGUGGGUAAUGGCUCACCUAGGCGACGAUCCCUAGCUGGUCUGAGAGGAUGACCAGCCACACUGGAACUGAGACACGGUCCAGACUCCUACGGGAGGCAGCAGUGGGGAAUAUUGCACAAUGGGCGCAAGCCUGAUGCAGCCAUGCCGCGUGUAUGAAGAAGGCCUUCGGGUUGUAAAGUACUUUCAGCGGGGAGGAAGGCGGUGAAGUUAAUAGCUUCACCGAUUGACGUUACCCGCAGAAGAAGCACCGGCUAACUCCGUGCCAGCAGCCGCAGUAA
rnacentral:rRNA from 1 species